rnacentral:tRNA from 1 species
AGCUCAGCGCGCAGAGUGCUAUGCUUCGGGCGCAAGAGGUCGCUGGUUCGAAUCCAGCACCGC